rnacentral:rRNA from 1 species
CAGGUAGGGAUACCCGCUGAACUUAGCAUAUCAAUA